AAGACUAUACUUGCAGGGAUCAUUUCUAUAGUUUGUGACUAGAGAAGUUUCUCUGAACAUGUAGAGCACCAGGCAAAACAUUCUGU
ensembl:snoRNA U3 Small nucleolar RNA U3